CAGUAGUUCAAUAAAUAUCUUGUCACGAUAUCAUCUAAUUUCCACGAGAGAUAUGCGAUCAAGUGACUCGAUUUUCACCUGUCAAUAAGGACACUAUCAGAAAAGUAGGUGGAGUUUGACAUUGUACCUGAUGAAUCAAGGUGCCAAUGUCAUGCAAGGUGUACCAACAGAUGACGAGCUGGAAGAUUUGAGCCGAAAUAUCGGCGCUAAAUGGGAAAGUCUAGGGCGUAGACUGAACUUUUCAGAUGAAGAGCUUCAGGAGAUUGACUCAGGUAGAAGGCUCCUUCCUCAGAAAGCAUAUCAGAUGCUGAAGAAGUGGAAAGAAAGGAAUGGGUCUGGUGCAACUUACCAGACUUUGUGUGCUGCUCUAAGCCACAGAUUUGUUUCACGUACAGACUUGGCUGAGAAGUAUGAUAAUUUUACAGGUGAGAAGGAAGACAGACCGUCUUUAACAGAGACAGUUGGUAAAAUGUCGUCUUUUGCAGUAGUCAAACGAGGUGUACCAACCAGUGAAGAGUUAAAAGGAUUGGCUCAACGUAUUGGUGACUUUUGGAAAGUAUUAGGGCGUCAGUUGGGGUUUAACGAGAGGAAGUUGCUGGUGAUUGAUGGAACAAGCGAGUCUGGGAUUGAUAAAGGAUACCUUAUGUUGAUGCAUUGGAAACACAGGAGAGGUGGUCAUGCGAAUUACAAGACUUUGUUUGAUGCUCUGACCCACGCAGUGGUACAGCGUAAUGACCUGGCUGACAGUUAUUGCAUUGAGCCAUAACUCAGACUGACUUCAUCAGAAACAGCUGGUAAAAGGUCGUCAGUGGGUAUAGGCAAACUUAAGCGAGGUUCCCAAGAUAAGCUGGAUCCUUUUUCCUUUCCUCAAAAGCGGCUAAGAGUUCCCAAGGAUGAGAAAACAGAGCUACUAACUGAAAAGUACUCAGAGUUCAAGGAUAAUCCUUGGCUGAAGAAAGAGAAAACAGAGCUACUAACUGAAAAGGACUUCGAGUUCAUUGAUGAUCCUUGGCUGGAGAACGAGAAAACAGAGCUACUAACUGAAAAGUACUUCGAGUUCAUGGAUGAUCCUUGGCUGAGUGAUAAAGCAAUUCAACGAUCUAUCAUCUGCAGGGGUGUGGUAACAGAAUAUGGUUGUAAAUGGAACUUAAGGGAAGCAGCUGCCUAUGUGACAUUUCACGAGGGAGCUGUGCCAAAACCUUUGUUCUUUACUGGUUCAGUAUGGCCUCCUACAUCUUGCUGUCCACCAAUUGGUAGUGAUGAGCUUUUGGUUAGCAAUGUGGUUGAAUUGUCACAUGAUGGUCCACCAGACAUUGAGUUUAGUGGAGGAAGCAUAACUGUGUCUUUGAUGCACAGUGCGAGUGAUUUGAAGGGCUAUGAAGUAGUCAUCAAGCAAUUGAUGGAUCCAAAUGGCGAUGAAUGGAAGGAUUUGGAGACGAGGUACUUAAUGGAUAUGCCAGAAGCAGGAAAGCCAGAGAUUUCCGACUGGCCUCAGUUUGUUGAGGCCAGUUGUCUAUUCGCUCAAUGUUCCACGUUUGCUGCCAUUUGGCGCCUGAAGACCUUUAGUUUCUCAAGACAUACUUCAGUGGCUCAUCAACUCACAUGUGUAGUACCAGACUUUCCCGACGUACGUGUAGAAGUUCCUCUUACUUCUUUACCAGUUGAUCAGGACUUCACUUUUACACUUAAGGUGCAAGAAUUUCCGAGCAGUGAGGUCGAAGAAGGAAUAUUGGUUGGUCCUGUUCUUCACAUUUCAAGCUCUCACAGCAUUGAACAUUUUGAGCCUGUAACAAUCAAGAUUCCUCUCACCUUACGUGAAAGUAAGCACGAUUUUUCGAAAUUUUCAAAUGAGGUCGUAAGGUUAUUAUACCUUGAUCCGGAAGAAAAACCCAAGAGCUGGACUGAUAUCACAGAUGAACUUGAAGGACAAGUUUUUCUUAAAGAUGGGAUAGUAGAAUUUAAAGUCAAGCAUUUCAGUCGAUUCUGGCUAGUCUGUAAGUUAAAGAAUUUGGUGUCUCAAUUGGAGGAUUUUACUCGGCGAUCUUUCCCCACACCAAUGCCACAACGUGUUCAUUUUCUCGCUUGUUUACGUGAGACUUUAUGUCAUGCCAAAUAUGAGCUUUUACUGUACUGCUUUCUAAACAUCAGAAGAGCCGAUGUUGUUCAAGAAAUUUCACGUUAUGAAACACCUUUUAUUGGCGAGGGAAAGUCAAAGGAGCCUUUGUGUAAGGGAGAUAAAAUUGUGGUUUCCCUGUCAGCCCUUACAUUUGAGCAUGAAUCACAGAAGAAUAAAGAGAUUGUUCUCGAGUUUCUUCUCCAAUGGGCGUCGCCAUGGUUGAGGAAAGACCUCAUUUUUCUGUUGGCUCAGUCACUUAGCCCUGGACCAGAACGUAUAAAACUCUUCAGUAUAUCUCAAUGCCGUUCAUACAAUAAUAGUAUGCAUGCAAAACGUUCAGCAUGAUCAUUGGCUGAGAACGCGUCAGUUAAUCCCAAACAGUGAAAUUGAGUGCAAAAUUGAAUUGAUUGACCAGCAAGUCGCGAAAGCACAACAAAGCAAAAUGGCGGAAAGGUUAUGACCAGGAGCAUACUGACUUUUAUGCAAGUCAGCAGCCAUCUACAAGUGCAUCUGGCAGACCACAGA
rnacentral:misc_RNA from 1 species